ACACGAGUGAGAAUGCCGGUAUGAGUAACGAAAAGACAAGUGAGAAUCUUGUCCGCCGUAAGCCUAAGGGUUCCUGAGGAAGGCUCGUCCGCUCAGGGUAAGUCGGGACCUAAGGCGAGGCCGAAAGGCGUAGUCGAAGGACAACAGGUUGAGAUUCCUGUACCACCGUAAGCCGUUACGAGCAAUGGGGUGACGCAGAAGGAUAGUGACGCGGGCUGAUGGAUGCCCGUCCAAGCAGUGAGGCUGAUGUGUAGGCAAAUCCGCACAUCGAAAGGCUGGGCUGUGAUGGGGAGCGAAAAUUGCAGUAGCGAAGGUCAUGAGUUCAGGCUGCCAAGAAAAGCCUCUAGCCAGGCGAAGGUGCCCGUACCGCAAACCGACACAGGUAGGCGAGCAGAGUAUGCUAAGGCGCUCGGAAGAACUCUCGUUAAGGAACUCGGCAAAAUGACCCCGUAACUUCGGGAGAAGGGGUGCCUCGGUAGGGUGAAUAGCCCAAGGGGGCCGCAGCGAAAAGGCCCAAGCGACUGUUU
rnacentral:rRNA from 1 species